GUUAGCUCAGUGGUAGAGCACUUGACUUUUAAUCAAGGGGUCGUGAGUUCGAGCCUCAC
rnacentral:tRNA from 4 species